rnacentral:tRNA from 1 species
GCGGGUGUAGCAAAAUGGAAAUGCAUUGGCUUUCCAAAUCUCUAUGCGCGAGUUCGAUUCUCGCCGCCCGCACCA